rnacentral:rRNA from 1 species
GGGUUGUGAGGUUAAGCGACUAAGCGUACACGGUGGAUGCCCUGGCAGUCAGAGGCGAUGAAGGACGUGCUAAUCUGCGAUAAGCGUCGGUAAGGUGAUAUGAACCGUUAUAACCGGCGAUUUCCGAAUGGGGAAACCCAGUGUGUUUCGACACACUAUCAUUAACUGAAUCCAUAGGUUAAUGAGGCGAACCGGGGGAACUGAAACAUCUAAGUACCCCGAGGAAAAGAAAUCAACCGAGAUUCCCCCAGUAGCGGCGAGCGAACGGGGAGGAGCCCAGAGCCUGAAUCAGUGUGUGUGUUAGUGGAAGCGUCUGGAAAGGCGCGCGAUACAGGGUGACAGCCCCGUACACAAAAAUGCACAUGCUGUGAGCUCGAUGAGUAGGGCGGGACACGUGGUAUCCUGUCUGAAUAUGGGGGGACCAUCCUCCAAGGCUAAAUACUCCUGACUGACCGAUAGUGAACCAGUACCGUGAGGGAAAGGCGAAAAGAACCCCGGCGAGGGGAGUGAAAAAGAACCUGAAACCGUGUACGUACAAGCAGUGGGAGCAUGCUUAGGCGUGUGACUGCGUACCUUUUGUAUAAUGGGUCAGCGACUUAUAUUCUGUAGCAAGGUUAACCGAAUAGGGGAGCCGAAGGGAAACCGAGUCUUAACUGGGCGUUAAGUUGCAGGGUAUAGACCCGAAACCCGGUGAUCUAGCCAUGGGCAGGUUGAAGGUUGGGUAACACUAACUGGAGGACCGAACCGACUAAUGUUGAAAAAUUAGCGGAUGACUUGUGGCUGGGGGUGAAAGGCCAAUCAAACCGGGAGAUAGCUGGUUCUCCCCGAAAGCUAUUUAGGUAGCGCCUCGUGAACUCAUCUCCGGGGGUAGAGCACUGUUUCGGCAAGGGGGUCAUCCCGACUUACCAACCCGAUGCAAACUGCGAAUACCGGAGAAUGUUAUCACGGGAGACACACGGCGGGUGCUAACGUCCGUCGUGAAGAGGGAAACAACCCAGACCGCCAGCUAAGGUCCCAAAGUCAUGGUUAAGUGGGAAACGAUGUGGGAAGGCCCAGACAGCCAGGAUGUUGGCUUAGAAGCAGCCAUCAUUUAAAGAAAGCGUAAUAGCUCACUGGUCGAGUCGGCCUGCGCGGAAGAUGUAACGGGGCUAAACCAUGCACCGAAGCUGCGGCAGCGACGCUUAUGCGUUGUUGGGUAGGGGAGCGUUCUGUAAGCCUGUGAAGGUGUACUGUGAGGUAUGCUGGAGGUAUCAGAAGUGCGAAUGCUGACAUAAGUAACGAUAAAGCGGGUGAAAAGCCCGCUCGCCGGAAGACCAAGGGUUCCUGUCCAACGUUAAUCGGGGCAGGGUGAGUCGACCCCUAAGGCGAGGCCGAAAGGCGUAGUCGAUGGGAAACAGGUUAAUAUUCCUGUACUUGGUGUUACUGCGAAGGGGGGACGGAGAAGGCUAUGUUGGCCGGGCGACGGUUGUCCCGGUUUAAGCGUGUAGGCUGGUUUUCCAGGCAAAUCCGGAAAAUCAAGGCUGAGGCGUAAUGACGAGGCACUACGGUGCUGAAGCAACAAAUGCCCUGCUUCCAGGAAAAGCCUCUAAGCAUCAGGUAACAUCAAAUCGUACCCCAAACCGACACAGGUGGUCAGGUAGAGAAUACCAAGGCGCUUGAGAGAACUCGGGUGAAGGAACUAGGCAAAAUGGUGCCGUAACUUCGGGAGAAGGCACGCUGAUAUGUAGGUGAAGCGACUUGCUC